GAUGAAGAACGUAGCGAAAUGCGAUAAGUAAUGUGAAUUGCAGAAUUCAGUGAAUCAUCGAAUCUUUGAACGCACCUUGCACCCUUUGGCUAUUCCGAAGGGUAUGCCUGUUUGAGUAUCAUGAACACCUCAACUCUCAUGGUUUGCCAUGAUGAGCUUGGACUUUGGGGGUCUUGCUGGCCUGUGGUCAGCUCCUCUCAAAUGGAUUAGCUUGCCAGUGUUUGGUGGCAUCACAGGUGUGAUAACUAUCUACGCUUGUGGUUUUCCACCAGGUAACCUUCAGCAAUGGGGGUUAGCUGGGGCUCAUCAAUGUCUCUCCUCAGUGAGGACAGCUCUUUGAACGUUUGAUCUCAAAUCAGGUAGGACUACCCGCUGAACUUAAGCAUAUCAAUAAGCGGAGGA
rnacentral:misc_RNA from 1 species